CUUUCUCUCGUUUCUGUUCUCUUCUUGCUAUCAAUUAAUUUCUUCUCUUCUUCUUCCUCUCAUUUCUGUUGUUGCCGUAUUUAUGAAUGUCGAACUUAUCAGAAUCGACGAACUCUUCAUUCUCACCUUGUGCUACCGCUCGAAUAUGUAAGUAUGGUGUUUCUCCAAAGUUGAAUACUUCUUGGACCUAAUUAUCCAGG
rnacentral:lncRNA from 1 species